rnacentral:rRNA from 1 species
GAUGAACGCUGGCGGCGUGCCUAAUACAUGCAAGUCGAGCGAACAGAUGAGGAGCUUGCUCCUCUGACGUUAGCGGCGGACGGGUGAGUUACACGUGGAUAACCUACCUAUAAGACUGGGAUAACUUCGGGAAACCGGAGCUAAUACCGGAUAAUAUAUUGAACCGCAUGGUUCAAUAGUGAAAGACGGUUUUGCUGUCACUUAUAGAUGGAUCCGCGCCGCAUUAGCUAGUUGGUAAGGUAACGGCUUACCAAGGCAACGAUGCGUAGCCGACCUGAGAGGGUGAUCGGCCACACUGGAACUGAGACACGGUCCAGACUCCUACGGGAGGCAGCAGUAGGGAAUCUUCCGCAAUGGGCGAAAGCUUGACGGAGCAACGCCGCGUGAGUGAUGAAGGUCUUCGGAUCGUAAAACUCUGUUAUUAGGGAAGAACAAAUGUGUAAGUAACUAUGCACGUCUUGACGGUACCUAAUCAGAAAGCCACGGCUAACUACGUG